ACACGUAGGGGGCGAGCGUUGUUCGGAAUCAUUGGGCGUAAAGGGCGCGCAGGCGGCGAGGCAAGUCCGGUGUGAAAGUGCUCGGCUCAACCGAGUGAUGCGCUGGAAACUGCCCUGCUUGAGUACAGGAGGGGACGUCGGAAUUCCAGGUGUCGGGGUGAAAUCUGUAGAUAUCUGGAAGAACACCGGUGGCGAAGGCGGACGUCUGGCCAUGUACUGACGCUGAGGCGCGAAGGUGCGGGGAGCGAACAGGUUUAGAUACCCUGGUAGUCCGCACAGUAAACGAUGUGCACCAGGUGGCGGGGGGUAGCCCUCGGUACCGAAGCCAACGCAUUAAGUGCACCGCCUGGGGAGUAUGCUCGCAAGGGUGAAACUCAAAUGAAUUGACGGGG
rnacentral:rRNA from 1 species